UACGUAGGGUGCAAGCGUUGUCCGGAAUUAUUGGGCGUAAAGAGCUCGUAGGCGGUCUGUCGCGUCGGCUGUGAAAUCCCGAGGCUCAACCUCGGGUCUGCAGUCGAUACGGGCAAACUAGAGUAUUGCAGGGGAGACUGGAAUUCCUGGUGUAGCGGUGAAAUGCGCAGAUAUCAGGAGGAACACCGGUGGCGAAGGCGGGUCUCUGGGCAAUAACUGACGCUGAGGCACGAAAGCGUGGGGAGCAAACAGG
rnacentral:rRNA from 1 species